UCGAGGAUCUUCGGCAAUGGGCGCAAGCCUGACCGAGCGACGCCGCGUGUGGGAUGAAGGCCUUCGGGUUGUAAACCACUGUCAGUGGGGAGGAAGGACUGGUGUAGAGCCAGUUUUGACCUAUCCGCAGAGGAAGUGUGGGCUAAGUCCGUGCCAGCAGCCGCGGUAAGACGGACCACACAAACGUUAUUCGGAAUUACUGGGCUUAAAGGGUGCGUAGGCUGUGCAGAAAGUUGGGUGUGAAAUCCCUCGGCUCAACCGAGGAAUUGCGCCCAAAACUACUGUGCUCGAGGAAGACAGAGGUAAGCGGAACUUAGGGUGGAGCGGUGAAAUGCGUUGAUAUCCUAAGGAACACCGGUGGCGAAAGCGGCUUACUGGGUCUUUUCUGACGCUGAGGCACGAAAGCUAGGGUAGCGAACGG
rnacentral:rRNA from 1 species